AAGACUAUAGACCUGCGGAGUACCUGCGGAAGGAUCAUUCACAAUAAGUGUUUUAUGGCACUUUAAUUCCAUAUCCACCUUGUGUGCAACGUAGUUCGUUUUUCGAACAAAACAUCAACAUUUUAAUUAUCAACAGAUCGUCUGAAGUAUUAUAUGAAUAAAUCAAUUCAAAAUACAACUUUUAACAACGGAUCUCU
rnacentral:misc_RNA from 1 species